rnacentral:rRNA from 1 species
UACGAAGGGGGCUAGCGUUGCUCGGAAUCACUGGGCGUAAAGCGCACGUAGGCGGAUCUUUAAGUCAGGGGUGAAAUCCUGGAGCUCAACUCCAGAACUGCCUUUGAUACUGAGGAUCUUGAGUCCGGGAGAGGUGAGUGGAACUCCGAGUGUAGAGGUGAAAUUCGUAGAUAUUCGCAAGAACACCAGUGGCGAAGGCGGCUCACUGGCCCGGUACUGACGCUGAGGUGCGAAAGCGUGGGGAGCGAACAGG